GUGAUACAGCCCGUGGAAAAGACACAGUCUAAAACAUUUACGGCGCAAUGAAAGCUCCGGUAAUAUACCUGAAACGUACAGGACAACCAUACAGGCCGGCCUUCCAGAAUAGUCCCGUAAAAAAGCAAAUGGUCGCCCAGAUGAGCCAACGCGGAAAACGAGUGACUGCCUGCGAGCGCUGUAGCGAGGACAAUGGAAAUAACAAGGCCCAACGCACUCCGUGUCCUUAGAGAUCCUCUAACACCCUCCCCGCCCCUCCCCCUUCCCCAGCGCACAAGCUGCGCAUGCGCCGUCAGUGGACUGCAUGAUAACAGCGGCGGCGCCGACGGCGUGAAUGCACCUCUACCGGCAAUUUAAUUCAUGUAGAAAUAAA